CCUACGGGGUGCAGCAGUGAGGAAUAUUGGUCAAUGGACGAGAGUCUGAACCAGCCAAGUAGCGUGAAGGAUGACUGCCCUAUGGGUUGUAAACUUCUUUUAUAUGGGAAUAAAAUGUUCCACGUGUGGGGUUUUGUAUGUACCAUAGGAAUAAGGAUCGGCUAACUCCGUGCCAGCCGCCGCGGUAAUACGGAGGAUCCGAGCGUUAUCCGGAUUUAUUGGGUUUAAAGGGAGCGUAGGUGGAUUGUUAAGUCCGUUGUGAAAGUUUGCGGCUCAACCGUAAAAUUGCAGUUGAAACUGGCAGUCUUGAGUACAGUAGAGGUGGGCGGAAUUCGUGGUGUAGCGGUGAAAUGCUUAGAUAUCACGAAGAACUCCGAUUGCGAAGGCAGUUCACUGGACUGCAACUGACACUGAGGCUCGAAAGUGUGGGUAUCAAACAGGAUUAGAUACCCGGGUAGUC
rnacentral:rRNA from 1 species